UACGUAGGGUCCGAGCGUUGUCCGGAAUUAUUGGGCGUAAAGGGCUCGUAGGCGGUUUGUUGCGUCGGGAGUGAAAACUUCGAGCUUAACUCGGAGCUUGCUUUCGAUACGGGCAGACUUGAGGCAUUCAGGGGAGAACGGAAUUUCUGGUGUAGCGGUGAAAUGCGCAGAUAUCAGGAGGAACACCAGCGGCGAAGGCGGCGCUCUGGGCUGGCACUGACACUGAGGAGCGAAAGCGUGGGGAGCGAACAGG
rnacentral:rRNA from 1 species